AGCGAACGCUGGCGGCAGGCCUAACACAUGCAAGUCGAACGAACCUUUCGGGGUUAGUGGCGGACGGGUGAGUAACACGUGGGAACGUGCCUUUAGGUUCGGAAUAACUCAGGGAAACUUGUGCUAAUACCGAAUGUGCCCUUCGGGGGAAAGAUUUAUCGCCUUUAGAGCGGCCCGCGUCUGAUUAGCUAGUUGGUUGAGGUAAUGGCUCACCAAGGCGACGAUCAGUAGCUGGUCUGAGAGGAUGAUCAGCCACAUUGGGACUGAGACACGGCCCAAACUCCUACGGGAGGCAGCAGUGGGGAAUCUUGCGAAAUGGGCGAAAGCCUGACGCAGCCAUGCCGGGUGAAUGAUGAAGGUCUUAGGAUUGUAAAAUUCUUUCACCGGGGACGAUAAUGACGGUACCCGGAGAAGAAGCCCCGGCUAACUUCGUG
rnacentral:rRNA from 1 species